rnacentral:piRNA from 3 species
AAGCCAGGGAUUGUGGGUUCGGGUCCCAUCU